rnacentral:rRNA from 1 species
CCCAAUUGAUUGAUGGUGCUUGCACCUGAUUGAUUUUCGUUGCCAACGAGUGGCGGACGGGUGAGUAACACGUAGGUAACCUGCCCAGAAGCGGGGGACAACAUUUGGAAACAGAUGCUAAUACCGCAUAACAGCGUUGUUCGCAUGAACAACGCUUAAAAGAUGGCUUCUCGCUAUCACUUCUGGAUGGACCUGCGGUGCAUUAGCUUGUUGGUGGGGUAACGGCCUACCAAGGCGAUGAUGCAUAGCCGAGUUGAGAGACUGAUCGGCCACAAUGGGACUGAGACACGGCCCAUACUCCUACGGGAGGCAGCAGUAGGGAAUCUUCCACAAUGGGCGCCCAGCCUGAUGGAGCAACACCGCGUGAGUGAAGAAGGGUUUCGGCUCGUAAAGCUCUGUUGUUAAAGAAGAACACGUAUGAGAGUAACUGUUCAUACGUUGACGGUAUUUAACCAGAAAGUCACGGCUAACUACGUGCCAGCAGCCGCGGUAAUACGUAGGUGGCAAGCGUUAUCCGGAUUUAUUGGGCGUAAAGAGAGUGCAGGCGGUUUUCUAAGUCUGAUGUGAAAGCCUUCGGCUUAACCGGAGAAGUGCAUCGGAAACUGGAUAACUUGAGUGCAGAAGAGGGUAGUGGAACUCCAUGUGUAGCGGUGG